AUUGAACGCUGGCGGCAUGCUUUACACAUGCAAGUCGAACGAGUGGCGCACGGGUGUGUAAUACAUCGGAACGUGUCCUAGCGCGGUGGAUAACAGAUCGAAAGAUCAGCUAAUACCGCAUACGAUUGGAGCGGCCGAUGCCCGAUUAGCUAGUUGGUGAGGUAAAGGCUCACCAAGGCGACGCUCGGUAGCUGGUCUGAGAGGACGACCAGCCAGACUGGGACUGAGACACGGCCCAGACUCCUACGGGAGGCAGCAGUGGGGAAUUUUGGACAAUGGGGGCAACCCUGAUCCAGCCAUGCCGCGUGCAGGAUGAGGGUAAUCGGAUUGUAAACUGCUUUUGUCAGGGAAGCGUUACCUGAAGAAUAAGCACCGGCUAACUACGUGCCAGCAGCCGCGGUAAUAC
rnacentral:rRNA from 1 species